UAUGCCCUGCUUUGUUCGUGAUAGGCCCAUUAAACCCACAUCACUUAUAAGGGAUGCCAUAUUUCUCCGUGGAUUGCAGGCCUCCCGGGGCACUCUGGAGGUGCCUUGGACGUUGGAAGCAGAGAAGCGGGGAAGAGGCGACCCACCUGCAUAUAUGUGCAGGUUAUAAUCGGGCUUACACGGCACGGCGGGGGUCU
rnacentral:other from 1 species